rnacentral:rRNA from 1 species
AGUGAACGCUGGCGGUAGGCCUAACACAUGCAAGUCGAACGGCAGCACAGUAAGAGCUUGCUCUUACGGGUGGCGAGUGGCGGACGGGUGAGGAAUACAUCGGAAUCUACUUUUUCGUGGGGGAUAACGUAGGGAAACUUACGCUAAUACCGCAUACGACCUACGGGUGAAAGCAGGGGAUCUUCGGACCUUGCGCGAUUGAAUGAGCCGAUGUCGGAUUAGCUAGUUGGCGGGGUAAAGGCCCACCAAGGCGACGAUCCGUAGCUGGUCUGAGAGGAUGUUCAGCCACACUGGAACUGGGACACGGUCCAGACUCCUACGGGAGGCAGCAGUGGGGAAUAUUGGACAAUGGGCGAAAGCCUGAUCCAGCCAGACCGCGUGGGUGAAGAAGGCCUUCGGGUUGUAAAGCCCUUUUGUUGGGAAAGAAAAGCAGCAGGUUAAUACCCCGCUGUUCUGACGGUACCCAAAGAAUAAGCACCGGCUAACUUCGUG